CCUACGGGGGCAGCAGUGGGGAAUAUUGGACAAUGGGCGAAAGCCUGAUCCAGCCAUGCCGCGUGUGUGAAGAAGGCCUUCGGGUUGUAAAGCACUUUCAGUGGGGAAGAAAGCCUUGGGGCUAAUACCCUCGAGGAAGGACAUCACCCACAGAAGAAGCACCGGCUAACUCCGUGCCAGCAGCCGCGGUAAUACGGAGGGUGCGAGCGUUAAUCGGAAUUACUGGGCGUAAAGCGCGCGUAGGCGGUCUGAUAAGCCGGUUGUGAAAGCCCCGGGCUCAACCUGGGAACGGCAUCCGGAACUGUCAGGCUAGAGGGCAGGAGAGGAAGGUAGAAUUCCCGGUGUAGCGGUGAAAUGCGUAGAGAUCGGGAGGAAUACCAGUGGCGAAGGCGGCCUUCUGGACUGACACUGACGCUGAGGUGCGAAAGCGUGGGUAGCAAACAGGAUUAGAUACCCUUGUAGUC
rnacentral:rRNA from 1 species